UACGAGUGGUGCAAGCGUUAUUCGGAAUCAUUGGGCGUAAAGGGUGUGUAGGCUUCAAAUCAAGUCUGUUGUUAAAUUUCCCGGCCUAACCGGGAUAGUGCGGUGGAUACUGAUUUGAUAGAGGAUGGAAGAGAGAAGUGGAAUUCUCGGAGUAGCGGUAAAAUGCGUAGAUAUCGAGAGGAACACCGAUGGCGAAGGCAGCUUCUUGGUCCAUACCUGACGCUGAGACACGAAAGCGUGGGGAGCAAACAGG
rnacentral:rRNA from 1 species